UCUUCCCUCCCGAUAUCUUCUAAUGUUUUCUUCAAGUAUGGGAGCUACACAAAAGAGACAAGUGCUUUUGCUCUUUUCACUUCCCCAGGAGCAUGCUGGCUAACAUCAAAGGCUAGGACUAAGGCAAAAAGAACAACAAGAAGUGAUAAUUUUAGUAAGAAGGGAGGAAGGGGGAUUCUGUAAAGUGACUUGGCAGUACAGAGGAAACACAGUGGCAAGCAAAGAUGUAAGAUGUAGCUGCUGGAAACAUGCAGUAUUAGUGAAGAGAGUCUUGCCCACUCAGUUUCUAUAUAGUUUAAAAAGCUGCUCUAUAGCUUAAACAGCAGUUCUAUAAAGGUCUUAGUACUCUGGCCUAGCAACAGUUUCCCAAAGAGAAGAAAAAAAUGAGAGAGGUGCAAAUUCUGGACUUUAUAACACGCUGUAUGUGCAAAAGUACCAAGUGGACGACACAGUAUUGUUUCAUCCCAUCAAGAAAAUAGAAAACUUUGACAGUAAUAAAAAAUGUAUUUCGAAAAACUGGAAUGCCAGGGGUGACAGCAGGGUGAAUUUUCUUCUUCCUUCAAACCCUUCUUCAACCAAAGACUUGGAGGAUGAGGAUAUCUGAGUUUUACAUCUUCCCUCAAAAUGAGACUGCCAGCAUGGAUCCCAAGGUACAGCACAUUACUUAUAUUAAUAUGCAAUUUUGUCAGCCUAAAUUGUUAUUUUACAAAUGAUGACUACCUAGAUUAGGUACAAGGAGCUGAUCAGCCACAGCAGCACAGGGCCUAGCACACAGUCAUUUACCCUACUUUUCAUCUUCUUCAUGACAAACGAAGUAGGUUUUUGUUUUGUUUUGUUUUGGGGUUUUUUUUUUUUUGAAAUAUUCUGAGAGCUUUUUGUGAUCAACCCCUCUUCUGAAAGCUAUCCUUCUCCCAUUCAGCUGUGGCAGGAGGACUAUUUCUGUUCAGUUAAGC
rnacentral:lncRNA from 1 species